GAAUUUGAGCAUUUUAUGUACUUUGUUACUGAUUGUUACUGGCUGAAAGAUUAACAAAAUUGGAUACAGUGUUCACUUGAGAUGGAAAAGGAAAUUCUGAAUAAAUGGUGUAACAUUUUUUUUUGUAUUGUGGCAUGAUAGCAAACUUUGCUAUUUGAGAUUGAGAUUACCUGCGUAAAACAUCGUUCCUCAGAUAUCUCUAAGUGUAUGUGAAUGUUACCUUUUCUCCGGGGCUUAAAAAACCCACAGUAGUCGUUUUUGCAGGUUUCAGUUCAUCAGUGUAUGACAGGUUUAACAGGCCUAAGUAUAGCACUGAACACAUUUUGAGUAUCUGACAACUCUAAAUAUAUUUAGACUUUGGAUUGGCCUGCUAAAUUUUGUCAAUACAGCCACAGCAGGGAGGUGGGUCAUGAUAUCCUAAAAAUUGAGAUAUAAGUAGCUUAAAGCUGAUCACAUGUGCUCUGCAGCUGCUUUAACAAAUGUGUUCUCUCUGUGUAACGAUAUUUAUUGGUGAAGGCUGUCAUUUGUGAUAUGAAAAUGAUAUACAAUAACCCCAUAUAGGUCCAGGCUGAAUUUUCUGUCAGAGUAUUACAGAAGCUCAUGGAAAUGGAAGGUCUGAAGUCCUUAUAGUAAAUCAUCCAUCAGUGUAUUGCUGGCAAGAUAUAUCCAAAACUCUAUGCAUGAACGCACUUGAUUCUCCUUUUUUUUAUGUAGUUUGCGGGGCAGAGGGGAGUUGUCUGGCUGUUUUUUGUUUUUGUUGUUGUUGGGUGGUGGGUUUUUUUUUCAUUCUGAUCUUUCUUGAUGAUUCUGGCCUUAGGCCAAGGCAUUGAGUUAGAGUUCCACUUGAGCAUGUACUUUUUGAGUUCUGUAUUAAAAUUGGUUUUCUUUACAGCUGAUUCUUGUCUUUGAUUUGACUUGCAGUGCACGAACCUGUCAGAAUUGCUUAUGAUAGGCCUCGUGGUUGCCCAGUUACAAAGAAGAAGAAGAAACCAAAAGAUUUAGAAUUCUCACACAAGAAACUGACAAACAGGAAUGUAGGUUUCCAGAUGCUUCAGAAGAUGGGCUGGCAAGAAGGACAUGGCCUGGGUACACGAGGAAAAGGAAUCAGAGAGCCUGUAAAAGUGUAUGUAAUGGGAACAAAAUACAGAAAUCUGACAGCUGUGGAAAAGGCUGGGAUUCUAGUAGCAACUAUUUUUAUCUAACCCACCUUGAUGUGGCCAGUUCCGUGUUUUGUUUCCUUCUUGAUGUUGGCCUCUGGCCUCAGCAAAGUUGAGCGUGAAGACUUCACGCGUAUUUCUGGCCAGGCUGGGCAAAGUGUGGUCUGGAAGGUGGCUGUUCCUUGCUGUACAAUUUGACAUCACUGAAGGCUGCAGUGUGAACGCUGCAGGGUGUGGACACUUCUAAAGAUACCUGGGUGCCUCUGUUAUUCAGGAGGUGUUUUGUUUGGCGUAUUUAUUUAUUUUUUAACACCUAGUAUUAUCCUGGGAAUCUCCUUACUGCCAUACUAGGUACAUUCAUAGCACAUAAAUAGAUUUUAGGAAUAUUAUAAACAGUACUCCCUAGGUUUAGGCAACAAAAUAUUUUCACUGUAAAUACAUGAUGCAUUCCACUGCGUGCCGAAAGAGGUAAGUGCAUCUGCAAGGUAAGUGUGCUUUUUCCUUUAAAGUGUAGUUUUGUUUUUGAAUCUUCAUUUUGUCUUUUAAAGUUGCUGUAUCCAGUGUCCACUGCUGCCAGCACAGAGAACGGAUAAUAUCUUCUUCAGCUCCCUGACUGAAUAAGGAGGCAGAAAUCAAUUUAUUUCUAUCUAAACCCG
rnacentral:lncRNA from 1 species